UAAAAAAAUAGUGUAACGAUCUCACAAACUUAUGUUGCCUUUCAAGAAACGAGUUCAGCGACGGCGGUGUAAAGAAAACACGUUCUUUAAAACUAGUUAUUUGACUAUUCGAAAGCGAACGAAGUAAUUCACGGUUAAGUUCACGGUUACACGAGCUUAGCUGUUGCCGUUGUACGAAAGGAAAGACAACUUGAGUUUUCACGUCGUGGUUUUAUGGAAAACGGCUGAAAUGUAUCAGACAGACGUCCGCGGCCGACGGCGUCCGCGUUUAGACACUAGACGUCUUGAGCACCCUCCCCUCCUCUCGCCCGCAAUACAAUACAAUACAAUGCUUUACAGUGCUUUACAGCUCAUAAUCCCAACAGCAAGCAAUUAUUAGCUGGCCAUUAAAGCGGAAUCAGAUUAUUUGAGAUGGCUUUGUCACGGCCGCUAUUUAGACUAAUGAAUAGCAUUCACCUUUAUCACUCUUUCACAUACAUUGGCGAGGAAUGCUUUUAUAUGUAUAGAAACAUUAAACACGAAGGCGCGGUAUAAAAAGGUGCUUCCAUUGGAAGCAUCGGCUCAUUUGUCAAUCAACCGCCGUGGAGUGAGGAUCAAAUUCAAGAUGGCGUACCGAGUCAAGUACAAAACACAGAGGGGAGAGGUUUCUAAGCGCCUUCUGAUGUAUUAAAAUGUCAACUCUACCUUCUAGUCCGAUUGAAUGUGUAAAAAAAGGAAACUCAGUAGAAGUAAAGCUACGAAACCAACGUGAUUUAUGCAAAAAAGGAGCAAACGCAUGAUCGGAAAACAACGAUUUCAAACCUCGACAAAAGCUAUACCCAAGAAGCAAGUCAUGGUGACAUCUGAAUAAUCAACAAGAUAUAUUCCUCAAGAAAAAGCAGAUACAUAGACAUGUAUUACAUUUUCCAUGUGAUUUUAAAUCAUAAACAUUCCUUUGUAAAGCAAACAUGUUUUGUUGCUAUAAGAUUGAUGUGCUAGUGAAGUGUAUAAAAGAACCAGUCAUAUUUUAUAAACUGCAUUAUAGAUUAUACUUUUUAAUAAACCAAAAAAGCUUUCUCUUUCAUCAAUUCAGUUCAAGACUUCUCAUUCUUACAGUAAAUGCAAGUGUAGAUACAGGGAGGAUAUCCAUUGAAUGAAAACAAUAAAAGUCAUGUCUCUAUUUUGUAUAAUUAACCUAUAAUUAACUAAAUAUAAAACAUAUGUUUGGGUAAACCCUUUAUAAAACUAAGGAUCCAGACCGUUUUGGGCAAAUAGAAACAAAAGCUAAUUCAAUUUUUAUUAUUUCUAAAUUAUUUGUAGUCAUCAUAGAUUGGAAGAUAAAAACAAAAUACUAUACAGGUGCAUUCUGAUCCAAAAAGUAGAAAGAUAGACUCAAUUAUGGCUCAAUCUCACUUAGAUGGAUAUCAGGCAUUUCUUUAGUAGCCCUUCAGUGGUUUGGUGUACAUAUAUGUGUGGGUAUAUAAGCUGAUACAUUGUACAAAGGGUUAUCUGCUGUUUCUGUGAGCCAGUUAUGCACUAUAAAAAAUAUUGAAACAAAUGUUUUCUUUAUAUUGUAUACCACUCCCUUGUUUUGUACAGUUUCUGUGAGCCAGUUAUGCACUAUAAAAACAAAUAUUGAAACAAAUGUUUUCUUUUAUUGUAUACCACUUCCUUUGUUCUGUACAGACAAAUAGUAAGUUUUGCAUUUUAUUGGGAUGGUACUAAGCCCUACUUUUAACCCUAUAUCUGAUAAAUUAGCACGAGGGCACAAUGGUCUAAUGACCAACUGCUUUCCUAGAAAUCAAAUUGACUGCACUAUGCUCCCUAUUCAAACAGGUGUACCUAGUACUCUGUUUAGUAUACUUAUAAAUGACAGGGUGAGGGUAAGUUGACAAAUUUCCUUAGCCUUUCUUUAUGUUUUGGAUCAAGAAGUCUGGUCCUAGAUAAUGUAAUAAAAGAGUUUCACUUGCACACUCCCUGGAUACCGCUGAAAUCUCUUAUGAAACUUGGGUCAUUUGCCGAAGCCUGAUCAUGGUAACAUGUAUUGAUCAACUAUUAAAUUUGGUAAAAAGAUAAUAAAGACAAAUUGACUUUCUCGUCAAAGUAGAAGUCAACUGGGGGUUCAACAUUCCCUGACCUGCCCACCACACCAAAUUUUCUUUCUGCUCAGGUAAAUGUGAAAACACUUUAUGGAUUUUUGGUUAAUUCUUGAACAGAUGUACAACAGCAGAUAGGCACACUUUGCAUUUUUGUUUUACACCUGUUGCAGCAACAAGAAAGUAGAAAUAAUGGUUUCACUAGAAUAAGUUUUACUGAAGUGUCCUCUUACACUACAGCUGUAAAGUGACUUAUGAAUAAUAAAAUAUAUAUAUAUGA